CCUACGGGGGGCAGCAGUGGGGAAUAUUGCACAAUGGGGGAAACCCUGAUGCAGCGACGCCGCGUGAGUGAGGAAGUAUUUCGGUAUGUAAAGCUCUAUCAGCAGGGAAGAAAAUGACGGUACCUGACUAAGAAGCCCCGGCUAACUACGUGCCAGCAGCCGCGGUAAUACGUAGGGGGCAAGCGUUAUCCGGAUUUACUGGGUGUAAAGGGAGCGUAGACGGCUAAUCAAGUCAGAAGUGAAAACCCAGGGCUCAACUUUGGGACUGCUUUUGAAACUGAGUAGCUAGAGUGCAGGAGAGGUAAGCGGAAUUCCUAGUGUAGCGGUGAAAUGCGUAGAUAUUAGGAGGAACACCAGUGGCGAAGGCGGCUUACUGGACUGUAACUGACGUUGAGGCUCGAAAGCGUGGGGAGCAAACAGGAUUAGAUACCCUAGUAG
rnacentral:rRNA from 1 species